AAUGAACGUUGGCGGCGUGGAUUAGGCAUGCAAGUCGCGCGAUAAGAGUAGCAAUACUUGGACAGCGGCGAAAGGGAGAGUAAUACAUAGGUACGUACCCUUGGGACUGGGAUAGCGGCGGGAAACUGCCGGUAAUACCAGAUGACGUUUCCGAACCAAAGGUGUGAAUCCGCCUGAGGAGCGGCCUAUGUCCUAUUAGCUUGUUGGUGGGAACGGCCUACCAAGGCAAAGAUGGGAGUUGGGUGGUGAGAGCAUGCCCCACCU
rnacentral:rRNA from 1 species